UUAUGGCCAUAUCACGUCGAAACACCGAUUCACUUACAAUCACCGAAGUUAAGCAACGUCGAGCCUAGUUAGUACCUAAAGAGGUGACUUUUUGGGAAUACCAGU